AAAGAAAGCGUAAUAGCUCACUGGUCGAGUCGGCCUGCGCGGAAGAUGUAACGGGGCUAAACCAUGCACCGAAGCUGCGGCAGCGACGCUGAUGCGUUGUUGGGUAGGGGAGCGUUCUGUAAGCCUGCGAAGGUGGCCUGUGAGGGUUGCUGGAGGUAUCAGAAGUGCGAAUGCUGACAUAAGUAACGAUAAAGCGGGUGAAAAGCCCGCUCGCCGGAAGAC
rnacentral:rRNA from 2 species